GACGAACGCUGGCGGCGUGCUUAACACAUGCAAGUCGAGCGGAAAGGCCCUUCGGGGUACUCGAGCGGCGAACGGGUGAGUAACACGUGAGUAACCUGCCCUUGGCUCUGGGAUAAGCCCGGGAAACUGGGUCUAAUACCGGAUAUGACCAUCAGAUGCAUGUCUUGGUGGUGGAAAGAUUUUUUCGGCUGGGGAUGGGCUCGCGGUCUAUCAGCUUGUUGGUGGGGUGANGGCCUACCAAGGCGACGACGGGUAGCCGGCCUGAGAGGGUGACCGGCCACACUGGGACUGAGACACGGCCCAGACUCCUACGGGAGGCAGCAGUGGGGAAUAUUGGACAAUGGGCGCAAGCCUGAUCCAGCCAUGCCGCGUGAGUGAUGAAGGCCCUAGGG
rnacentral:rRNA from 1 species